CGGCAAGCCUGACCGAGCGACGCCGCGUGCGGGAUGAAGGCCUUCGGGUUGUAAACCGUUGUCAGAGGGGAGGAAAUCCUGGGAGGUUCUCCUUUCAGGUUGACCUAGCCUCAGAGGAAGGACGGGCUAAGUUCGUGCCAGUAGCCGCGGUAAGACGAACCGUCCGAACGUUACUCGGAAUUACUGGGCUUAAAGGGUGCGUAGGCGGCUCUGAAAGUUGGGUGUGAAAGACCUCGGCUCAACCGAGGAAUUGCGCCCAAAACUACAGGGCUCGAGGAAGGCAGAGGUGAGCGGAACUUGCGGUGGAGCGGUGAAAUGCGUUGAUAUCGCAAGGAACACCCGUGGCGAAAGCGGCUCACUGGGCCUUUUCUGACGCUGAGGCACGAAAGCUAGGGGAGCGAAGAGGAUUAGAUACCCUCGUAGUCCUAGCCGUAAACGAUGAGCACUUGUUCGUGGGGUCCUCCAUAGCCUCUCGGACGAAGCGAAAGUGGUAAGUGCUCCGCCUGGGGAGUAUGGUCGCAAGGCUG
rnacentral:rRNA from 1 species